CUUGCCUACGGGGGGCAGCAGUGGGGAAUAUUGCACAAUGGGGGAAACCCUGAUGCGGCGACGCCGCGUGAGUGAAGAAGUAUUUCGGUAUGUAAAGCUCUAUCAGCAGGGAAGAUAAUGACGGUACCUGAGUAAGAAGCCCCGGCUAACUACGUGCCAGCAGCCGCGGUAAUACGUAGGGGGCAAGCGUUAUCCGGAUUUACUGGGUGUAAAGGGAGCGUAGGCGGGAAGCCAAGUCAGCUGUGAAAACUACGGGCUUAACCUGUAGACUGCAGUUGAAACUGGCUUUCUUGAGUGAAGUAGAG
rnacentral:rRNA from 1 species